rnacentral:rRNA from 1 species
UACGUAGGGUGCGAGCGUUAAUCGGAAUUACUGGGCGUAAAGCGUGCGCAGGCGGUUCGUUGUGUCGGCGGUGAAAGCCCCGGGCUUAACCUGGGAAUGGCCGUUGAAACUGGCGAACUGGAGUGUGGCAGAAGGGGGUGGAAUUCCGCGUGUAGCAGUGAAAUGCGUAGAGAUGCGGAGGAACACCGAUGGCGAAGGCAGCCCCCUGGGUUAACACUGACGCUCAGGCACGAAAGCGUGGGGAGCAAACAGG